GGUUUCGAGUUCUGACUAUCUUAGUUGGUUAAGAUUAUGAAAUUUUGGAUAUAACUUCUAUGGUCUUGGGGUUGAACAGUUAUGGAUAUUUUGUUAGCCCAGUUGUGAUCCAGCCCGCGACCCAUCUCAGACCCGAAGCCCGAUCCGGCAGUAGUCCAAACCCGUGACCCGAACCCGGAAACCCGACCUGCCGGUGACCCAACUCCGGCAGACUUCCGGCGACUUUCUGGUAGACUUUUCCGGCGACUUUCCGGUGACUUUUCCGGCGACUUUCCGAUGACUUUUCCGAUGAUUUUCCGGCGCUUUUCCCGUGACCGAACUCAUCGUUUUCACUGGAUUUUCUAGUGAAAAUUCUUAUUUAAUAAACCAAGAAACUAUACAAAGAGAGUAAAGCUCGAUCCCGAUGCUAAUGGGAAAUCCAAGUUAUGAACAGAGAGACGUAGGUGGCCGGGAUGGGAUCUAGGAAUGCAUUAGGACAUUUCAUUUAUGUUACCCUAAAAUUUUCAGUUAUUGUAUCUUUUAUAAUUAAAUUUUCUAAAUGACCGUUUCCGCAUUUAUUUAAAAACUCUGAGUUAUAAAAUCACUAUUAUUUUUAUUUAUUUAAAUCAGCAUACUAGUUAAGAUAUUUGGCAGACCUUACGAAUCUUUGCAGUUUUUAAAGAGAAAGUGACGAACCUAACCCUUAGCGGUUUGGGGGCGUUACAGUUUUGGUAUCAGAGCAAAGGUAAACCUGAGGAAGAAGAUAAGAAAGAUCCCAGAGGACCCCGAUGUUUUGAAUGCUCAGGCUUUGGACAUAUCCAGGCUGAUUGCGGGAAUCUUAAAAAGGGUAAGGGGAAAGCAUACAAUGUGACUCGCAGUGAUGAGUCAGAAGAAGAAGCUCCAGAGUCUAUAAAAUUUCUGGCCUUUGUAGCCCCAUAUUUUGAAGAAGAAGACUCGUAUUACUCGGAGCAUAGCAAUAAUGAGGAAGAGAUCAAGGAGGCCUACAAGACACUCUACAUAGAGUAUGAGAAGCUGAGGGAAGGUCGAAAGCAGCACCUUAAUGAUCUGAAUAGUUUGUAGACCGAGAAGAGUUCAUUGCUGCUCAAAGUACAAGAGCUCGAGGAAAAGCUACUAGAGACGCAGCUCUAGCUAAAGAGAGUCACUAAUGAGAAGCUGACUCAUAUGCUGUCUAUCCAGAAGAGCCCAAAUGACAAGACUGGCCUCGGGUAUGUAGCUCCCUCUUCUGAUGUUCCUUCUUCCUCAAAGAUUGUGUUUGUGAAACCUACAGUCCCAGAGCCUCCUCCCACUGUUGAAGAUAAAAAGAAGGAAAAGGUCAAUGAUGAUGUUCCAGGCAUUCAGGAGCCUCAUUCCAUCAGAAGACCUCCCAUUUGCCAUCAUUGCGGUCUCAGUGGGUAUGUUCGCCCUCAGUGCUCCCUCCUGAAAGCACAAAAGGCCAAAGCCAAGAAAGAAGUGCCCAGACAAGCUCAUUAUGGCACUAGACCUAUAGUCCAGCAUCAGACUCCAUGGCAUCAGGCAUCUUACCAAGCCCCAUGGGGACAAGCACCAUGGGGACAAGCACCAAGGCAUCAGUAUUAAGCUCCUUGGUCUCAUGCUCCUCAGCAUCAGCGGCCUCAACAACGGUUUGUACCAGCCAAUCACAGUGGCACCUACAAGAGCAAACCCAAGCAGUUUAGAAGGCCUCAGAAGAUGAAAGAAGAGCAACACUCCAGUGAGCCUCCUAUCUGGAUGCAGGACAUGAUGGAGUGGAUGAUGUAGUCCUGCCAGCAACCACCCACUAGAAGGCAGGCUUGGGUCGAGAAGGAUAGUCACCCCAUGAGGGGGAACCGACGCACCUAGCAGAUUCAGGUGUUUAUGCCUAGGAUUUGGUUCCUAAUCCCAUGGCAUCAGUGUGGAGCGUCCGGACGGGUAGAGUUCAGCAAUUCGGACGGUUCCCUUUUUGGAGUCUGAACGGACGGCGUUUUGCAGUCCGGACGAGAUCUGUUACAUGUCCAGACGUGAGCUGUCAUCUUCGGGCGGACGGGUAAUUUAAUUCGUCCGGACGUGCGUAACCGUUUUGCUCCUUUUCGAGGCAGCGCGCGUCCGGACGUCAUCAAAACACUGUCCGGACGGGUACCCCACAGUGGCUAUAAAUAGCCCAGAUCGCCGGUCUCUCCACUAUACCCCAUAAAUCUUACCUUUGGCUGAUUGUGAGAAAGCUUUUAGUGAAGUUUUUGCUUGUCUUUUUGCAUAUUCCUCUCACAUUCCAGCUCCCAGCGCAGGGUCCGCCAGAGGACAGAGGAAGAGCAGAGUGCAUUCCAAGCCAAAAUCAUGGACCGCAAUGUCCUCGCUGAGCGGAACGUGGUUCGUGCUGACAUCAUGGUGCCUCCAUUGGAUAGCAUUUAUGAGACUAUCCAGACCUACAAUUGGGGGUAUCUCUACAUGUGUGCCGGCAUCGUCCUCACUAGGCUAGUCAGGCUCUUCUGUAGCGCCCCAGAUUUUAGGAUAUAUAUUAUAAUGGUUUAAAUUAAUUUUUAAAACAUUUUUAAUAAGG